rnacentral:rRNA from 1 species
UACGAAGGGGGCUAGCGUUGCUCGGAAUCACUGGGCGUAAAGGGUGCGUAGGCGGGUCUUUAAGUCAGGGGUGAAAUCCUGGAGCUCAACUCCAGAACUGCCUUUGAUACUGAAGAUCUUGAGUUCGGGAGAGGUGAGUGGAACUGCGAGUGUAGAGGUGAAAUUCGUAGAUAUUCGCAAGAACACCAGUGGCGAAGGCGGCUCACUGGCACGAUACUGACGCUGAGGCACGAAAGCGUGGGGAGAAAACAGG